GUUUUGAUUCUUUUGACACCAUCCACUCUUUUCUCUUGAUAACAUAUCUACUUGCCAAGAACACAGCCACAUAGCCAUAUUUAGCUCAAGCAAGACUGAUGUGUUAAAUGGGCUAUGUCCACACUUAAUAAAUAUCUUUUCAGAUUAUGAAACUGAUAUGCUGCCUACUGUGCUAAGGAGACACCCCGUCCUGCCUUGAUAUGAGGGGAAAUUUAAAAGCGCACAUUUAAUCUUACUUAGUUCAUUUGGAAACAUUUCAGGGAAGCAGAUCUACUGUGGAAAUAGACGUCACUACCUCCAGUGGACAGUGCAGCCUCAAAUGAACAGUGUAAUUGGCUCGGCCAGGAGGCUGCUCUGCUCUGUACUUGCCUGAGCAGGGCUAUGACUUCUCCUGCAGUCAUGGCUGCCAUCACGAACCCUCUGGGACCAGAGGAAGCCCUUGACUGAGUGAGACCAACGCCCUGGCACUUCUCACAGAUUUUGCUUGAGUUUCUUCCAUACGUGGGCACAAAUGCCUGAGCCAAGGGAUAACUUUCUGAGCCGUGACCUCUUCCGACCCUCCAGACACUGAGUGUGGAAUGAAACCCAAGCCAUGAGGUCUGAACCUCUCGAAACUGAAAGGAAAAAAAGUCGGGUUAAAAGGAAGAAAAACCUUCCACUGCGCUUUUGGAUGAAGAGGACUUGAACAUAGGAGAAUAGCCAGCAGGAAACACAGCGACAUGAUGAUGUAAUAGGAUUAGAGCCUUCAUAGCACCAAAAGGUGAACAAGUGGGGCCUUGUGAAUCCUCCACCAUCCAUUCUGGAAUGUUGACCAACUUGAUCAUGUGCAGACAACCACAGCUGCUAUGAAAAUUCGAGUACAGAGGACACUGCCUCGACUCAGGCCCAUGAAUGAGAGAGGUCUCCAUCACGCAUCACCCACCACAGUGCGUUCCCUUGCUAUGGAGGUCCAAAGGCAACAGGAGACCAUGGUCUGCAGCCUCUGAAUCUGAGGCCCGGAGUGAACCCUUCCUUCUUUUGAGUCAUUCAUCUUGAGUGUUUUGUAACUGUGACGGGAGCCUGACUAACAUGCACAUGCUAUUAUUAUAUUACAUGUUAAAUGAAUAUAAACCAGGCUGAGAUGAUCAAGUACGAGAAGUCACUUCUUGCAGAAUGCCUCCAACAGAACAGACGGAUCAAAAUAGAAGUGUGUCUCUUCCCUCAGUAAGAAGACAUCUGUUAGAGCAGCUGCUAAGUCACCAGAGAUCAGCCUUUCUCCCCUCUAGUCUGUGGUCCUCAACAAGUGGCUAAUAUGCCACUCGACCCGAUCUGGCUGCUCCAGCUCCUACCAUCAGGUCUGGAUUCCAGAGAGGAGGAAAGAGGGAGCAAAAUGGCAUUGCUCUCUCUUAGAUGUUCCCUUUUAAAAGUCGUUACUUCUAUGUUCAUCCCCUUGGCUAAGGACUUAGUUAUAUAGAAACAUUUGGCUGCGAGAGAAGCUAGGGAAUAUUUUGUCUAUUUUGGGUAGCCACAUAUCUUGCUAAAAAUUCAAGAUCGGACUUUCACAGGGGAGAACGAUGAGAAUGGAUCUAAGGGGAUCCCCAAGUGCUGAGAGCUUUCUCAGGUGGCAUCAUUAGCAUAGAGACAGAACAUGAUUUUACCCAAUUCAGAUCACCCGGUCACUUCCUCUGUGCUUGGACUAGGAGAUGGAAAGACAAGUGAUGCACAGAUCCACCCUCCAUGUUUGAGAUUCAGAGCAGAGAUGGCAAGCUGGUGACAUGAGGUGGUCAACAGGCACAGUGUGUUUGGCUGACUGACGUGUGAGCCAGCACUCAAACUGUCACUUGUUUGACAGUACUCAGAACUGUCACAGAAGGAGCCAGCUGGCUUUCAAGCUCUUCACUCAGAGGGUUCCCCUGUGUCCAAGGCUGAAAAGCAACAGGCCCUUCAUGCUGGGUGAUACCAUUUGACUAAGAAAUGUGUUCAUGCACGCUGCUGGGGAGAUAGCUGAGCUGCUCAAGUCGCUGCUAUGCAUUCAUGAGAACAUGAGUUCGGAUCCCCAGCACCCGUGUUAAAAAUACAAAAACUAAAACCAAACAAAAAACACAAACAACAACGACGACAACAACAACAACAACAACAACAACAACAACAACAGCAACAAACCAGACACAGCAGCAAGUGUUGGAAGUCCAGGAACGGGAAGCAAGAGAUUGAUGGAGCCAGGAACUUAAUGGCCUGACAGUCUAGCCACGGAGAGAGCUCCAAGGUUAGUGGGAGACCCUGCCCCACAAAAUGAGGUGGUGAGUGUGGUGCAAGGCUUUCCCUGAAGAUGGCAACCCUCUGAGAAAGCUCAGCAGGAGAACGACCAUCUACAGUCUUGUGCUUAAGUCCCCUGUGAGACUGUAUCGCUGGUGCUCUGCAGCCUGCACUCAGCAUGUUGGUAGUUGGCUGGUUGGCUCUUGGAUCCAGUGCAAAAGCGGUGUGCAAAGACAGGUUGAGAAAUGAAAGGGGGAUUUCAUGGUUUCUGCCUUGGGGGUGCUUAAGAUAAAAGGUUUAGAACGGCAAAGAAUCCUUUUGUCCAAAAGGUCUCCCCUCUUCUGCUUUGCUUGUUUACUUGGUAAGCAGACAGGAGAAGGAAAUGUUCUGGUACAAAUACAUAGCCUGAGGGAGCUGGAACUGUUUCUGCUGCCAGGAACACCCCAAACAGAGCCUUGAGUGUUUCCGCAGCCCUGGGGCCACUCAGAGCCAGCUUGGGUAAAUGUGGAGAUGGCUUUGGGUCUAGUCCUGGCCAGUGUAGAGCGGGGCGAUGGGGGAGGGGAUCAGCGGCUUCCCCUCUGAGUGAUAGUGAAAGACUGAACCAGACCCUGAAUUUUUACUUAGCAUAAAUGUUACUGCAUCACAGCAGCUACAUGAAGCCUGCCUGCAGGGGAGAGAGCUCCAGAGUGGAUUUAGCACCUAGGUCUUCAAUCUUUUGGGUCACAGGGAGUCGUGGCGUGACAGAGUCACCAGGGACUCAUUCUUUCUUUGUUCUCGUCUGAUCUUUCACCCCUUCAUUCAUAGAACACUAGCUGUGGUAUCCCUGUUCCAGGUAGGAAAGUGGAGGUUAGUGGUAAUCCUUCCUUCUUUAGUGGAGGCUAAAGUUACCU